UAACUGAAGAGUUUGAUCAUGGCUCAGAUUGAACGCUGGCGGCAGGCUUAACACAUGCAAGUCGAGCGGGGGAAGGUAGCUUGCUACUGGACCUAGCGGCGGACGGGUGAGUAAUGCUUAGGAAUCUGCCUAUUAGUGGGGGA
rnacentral:rRNA from 1 species